rnacentral:rRNA from 1 species
UACGGAGGGGGCUAGCGUUGUUCGGAAUUACUGGGCGUAAAGGGCGCGCAGGCGGCAGAUCAAGUUGGAGGUGAAAGGCCCGGGCUCAACCUGGGAAUUGCCUUCAAAACGGGUCUGCUUGAAUCCGGGAGAGGUAAGUGGAAUUCCCAGUGUAGAGGUGAAAUUCGUAGAUAUUGGGAAGAACACCGGCGGCGAAGGCGGCUUACUGGACCGGAAUUGACGCUGAGGCGCGAAAGCGUGGGGAGCAAACAGG